UACGAAGGGGGCUAGCGUUGCUCGGAAUCACUGGGCGUAAAGGGUGCGUAGGCGGUUCUUUAAGUCAGGGGCGAAAUCCUGGAGCUCAACUCCAGAACUGCCUUUGAUACUGAGGAUCUUGAGUUCGGGAGAGGUGAGUGGAACUGCGAGUGUAGAGGUGAAAUUCGUAGAUAUUCGCAAGAACACCAGUGGCGAAGGCGGCUCACUGGCCCGAUACUGACGCUGAGGCACGAAAGCGUGGGGAGCAAACAGG
rnacentral:rRNA from 1 species